UGCUGGCUUCGAAUUCAAAACAUCAAAUGCCUCUUCCUCUCAAAUGCUCGGAUUAAAGGCAUGUACCAGCAGGCCCAGCUAGUCAGGGCUUCUCAAUCCCUUCAAUUCUUCAGUUGUCUCAAACCUGUGAGAGCCUGAGAAGCCGGAGCACACGACCUCUGGUCCCUGCUGUCCCCUGGCCAGCAUGCUGGUACAUCAGUUCAAGGGUGACAAUGAGAUCAUUUGUAAUGCCAUCGUUUGUGCCUGCUCUUGAGAGACCUGGGGGCCAUGGGAGGGGCUCCAGAAGCCCCAGCUGCUCAGCCGUGCUCUAAGCAGGCUGUGUGGAAUCCAGCUUGCUGACCACCAGCCUUGCCCACAGUCCUUGGCAGGGGUCAGAGGUCUGUCACCCUCCCUCCCCCAUAGAUCAAUAUCUUCCAGUCUACUGUCAGCAAAUCUUUGACCUGUGACCUAGCCACACAUGGUGACCCCUGAACCUAUUGGUCUUUCCACCAAUCCUUGCCCCUGUCUCUGGGGUGGGUGAGGGGCUGUCCCCUGGCUCUGGCCCAGGCUUUGAGAAGAAGGGAGAGUGGGAGGCUCCUGUCCCUGGACUCCCAGUCUCUUUCCUUUCCUCAGACUAGGGGCUGACACACAGUGAAGGCUGUGCAUGCAGGCUCCUUGGAGCGAGCUCCAGGGCCCAGGGAUGCUAAGAAUGAAAGAUUGACAAAGCUCUUCUGAGGUUGAGACUGUGGGAGCUCCAGCCUCAGGAUGCCUUCCUGCUUUGUCUCCAAUGUCCCCAAAGGGGCCUAGGAGUGCCAAACUUCUGAGUUUGGAUUCCAGGCCUCGUGGCCGCAUUCUCAGCACAGUCUGGUUAAAAUGGGGUGUAAUGGGAGAUGUCAUGCAGCCAACAUUAGGGCCAGGCCUCAAACCGCAAGGGUGGGGAGAUGCUGUCUCACCCAGAGGGUCCUCCUUGCAGCAAGUCCUCCCCCCAUCACCAACCUGAGACCCAGCAGCUUGGAUUGGGAAUGAGAGGGGGACUCAGGUCUCCAGUGUGCUCCCUGGGUUGUACCCCUCAAGGCUCAGCUAGGAGGGCCACGAAUGUGUGUACUCCUGCCCUGCACACUGGUCCUGUUCUACUCGGGAAACUUCUGCACGUUGUCUGCUGGGGGAUCUACUGGAGAUAGCAGGAAGCCACUCUUCUGAUCCACUCGGAUGGCAACUUAAGGACCCCAGAGCUCCUUCGAAGACACCACUGACCAGAGACUGUGGGACAACACACACCAUGUGGCUCUUACCUGACUCCUGAGAGGAGGUGCCUUCUGCUCCCUGGAAAAUUCUGAAGUGCCUAGCCAGGCUCAGAGGCCCACAGUCAUCUGCCUGCUCCAGCGCAGAGAAACUUCCCCUCCCAGGAGAGGAAGAAGAGAAGCAGAGGAGGAAGAGCAGGGGAGAGGAGACACCUGUGGUUUGAGCAAAAACAAACACCUUCUGCCUCAGGGCACAGGAAGACCCACCCCAGAUCUUGGAUUCUUGACCGGACUUGCCGUGUUCCCAGCUCAUCCCAGCUCAUCCAGGAAAAGCCAACAUCUAGAGCCUUUGAGGACUUCUAUGUCCUCUGAAUGUACCUUCUGCUGGAACCUGCCCCAGCAGGACAUCUUCCCUCUGUCCUACAUCAAGGCCUGCACAGAGGGACUGGAGAGAUGGCCCAGUGGUUAACAGCACUGACUGCUCUUCCAGAGGUCCUGAGUUCAAAUCCUA
rnacentral:sRNA from 1 species